GCGCUUUUAGUUCAGUUGGUAGAACGUAGGUCUCCAAAACCUAAUGUCGUAGGUUCAAGUCCUACAGGGCGUGC
rnacentral:tRNA from 1 species